UCCUGAUCUGAAAAGGAGGAGGAGGAAGAAACUUCGCCUGAUGAAGGGAGAAGAGGAGGUGGAGGAAAAGUCAGCUGCAGGCAUAAAGAAGGCGUCUGCUCGGCGUUUGCGCUGCCUCCCUUGGUUCUCCCGGCCUGAUGCGUUUUGGGGCUUGGCUGGUCCUGGAGUCUUGCAGUUGCUCUGGCCCUUUCUCCGGAUCAUCCUUAAAACAGCCUGGAGAGAUCUCCUGUCUGAAUUCCUGCUCUGAAAAGGGGGAGGAGGAGGAAGAAACUUCGCCUGAUGAAGGGAGAAGAGGAGGUGGAGGAAAAGUCAGCUGCGGGCAUAAAGGUCUGAAUUCCUGCUCUGAAAAGGGGGAGGAGGAGGAAGAAACUUCGCCUGAUGAAGGGAGAAGAGGAGGUGGAGGAAAAGUCAGCUGCGGGCAUAAAGGUAAAAGGGAAAAAAUAGAAAUA